UUCACUCCAAUUCUCUCUGCUCGGCUGCUGUCUCCAACUUGCUUCUUGCUGCGCUAUUUCAAAAAUUCAAGGUAUCAUUUUUUUGUUCUUCUGGGCUUCUCUUGAUCUAUAUAUUUUGAGUUUUCUCCUAUUUCUAUCUUGAGAAUUCUUUCAUAAAUUAUGUCCUUUGACAGUCUCUAGACUCUAUUGUAACUAAUAUAAGUCUCGUAAGUUUUCCCUCUUUUGUCUUUCUCUUGCAUUAUUUUUAAAAGUUCGUCCAUAUUUGGUUCGAUGUUGGUUUAUUUAUUCUUCUGCAUAAUUUAUUGCUAAAUUUUCUACGGAAUUCUAUAUGAUUUUGAAUGUAAGUUCGGCAAGAAAUACUUUGGUUCGUCUUCUUUUUUUUUCUUCUUCAGAUUUUGGUUGUGCAAAAUGGUGUUUUAGUAUGAAUUUUUUGUUCUUUUGGAUGGGUAGAACCAAGUUUGCAUUUCAUGGCAUUCUUUGCUUAAAAAUAUCUUAAAUGUGUUUGAUUAAUUCAUGAGAGAGAUGUACUUCUAUGGUAAACUUUUUAGUUGUCAUUCAUAUCCCAUCUCUAUGUGCUUGUUUCUUAAGUAAGAAUGCACCUCUGCAUACAUGUUUUCUUCUCUAUGUUUGAGAUCAUUUUUAUUUUAUUAACAAGCCCAGGUCUCAUUAGCUUCCAUCCCAUUUUCUUUGAGGGAUUCAAAGUGUCCCUUCCUCUUCUGGUAAGCUUCUCAGUACACUCUUUCAAUUUCUCUAGUGUUUCUACAGAGAUUGUGGUGAUAAGAAAUCUUUGUUGUCUUUUUAUUUUCAGUACUUUGGUUUUUAUUUUCAGUACUUUGGUGGGUAUAUGAUAGAUUUUUUUUUUUGGCAGUUUAUUGUAGGAUUUUUUACUUGCAUGUUCCUAAUUUGGAUGGAUUUACUCAUGGAUGUUUGGAAAUUGGUUUGUCCCUUCUUAUUCUUCUGGCCUUUUUUUAUAAGAACUUUAUUUGGUAUAUCGCUCUCAGAAUUCAUGCUAUAUUAUUUAUUUGUAAAACAUUUCCUGUCAAUAUUAUUGUAAAGCUAUAUCUUCGGCAGACACAUGGCACCGAGAUUCAACAUCGACCGAAUAACAACUGACACACUUGAUUGAACUUGAAAAGUUCAAAUUGUGGACAUGAGUCGCGAGCAAGAAAGCCCUGAGAAUAAAAUCAUCUUCCAAAAUCUGAUUUUGGAAGAUGAAGAGACAAGCUUAAACCCUCGGAGACAUAUCUGAUCUCCACCGCAAGAGUUCGAGUUUCGCCCAAUGCGUAUGCACCACUACAUAAACUUUAUUGGGUACUCGACAAAGAAACUAUAAAUAGUUGAACAAGUCAAGCUGACUGAUGAGCGUGAGAAACCACUUCCACCAUCGACUAAGCUGAGCGUCAUAACUUUUGACCGCAUCGCUCAUAUGACUCCUAAUUUUUCUACAGAUAUUGACAUACUAGGAGUCGCUCUCCGUUGCGGCCCUCCAAAAUAUGCAGGUGGCCUUCAAAAACAGGUACCGAGAGAUUACCGUUGUUGAAAAUCAGUACUUCAAAGCACUCUCCUCUGAUGUGGUAUUUGUAAUAGUGAAGGUUGGCGAUUAAGCUGCGGAUGAUAGCUUCGGCCCAUUGUAGAUGUUGAAUUUGAAUAUGCUUGUGUUGUAUUCGAAGAUACAAACAGUUCUUAUAUUUUUUGGGGUAUCAUGUCUAUUGAAGAUGGUUCAACCAUAAUGUAUUUUUUAUGUCUUAUGCACAUGUUGUAUAUAAAUGUAUGCUAUUAAGCACAUAUUGGAGUGAUAUUAUGUUGAUUUUAUAAAAUUAUUGACUCUA